rnacentral:rRNA from 1 species
GGAGCCGUAGGGAAACCGAGUCUUAACCGGGCGUUAAGUUGCAGGGUAUAGACCCGAAACCCGGUGAUCUAGCCAUGGGCAGGUUGAAGGUUGGGUAACACUAACUGGAGGACCGAACCGACUAAUGUUGAAAAAUUAGCGGAUGACCUGUGGCUGGGGGUGAAAGGCCAAUCAAACCGGGAGAUAGCUGGUUCUCCCCGAAAGCUAUUUAGGUAGCGCCUCGUGAAUUCAUCUCCGGGGGUAGAGCACUGUUUCGGCUAGGGGGCCAUCCCGGCUUACCAACCCGAUGCAAACUGCGAAUACCGGAGAAUGUUAUCACGGGAGACACACGGCGGGUGCUAACGUCCGUCGUGAAGAGGGAAACAACCCAGACCGCCAGCUAAGGUCCCAAAGUCAUGGUUAAGUGGGAAACGAUGUGGGAAGGCCCAGACAGCCAGGAUGUUGGCUUAGAAGCAGCCAUCAUUUAAAGAAAGCGUAAUAGCUCACUGGUCGAGUCGGCCUGCGCGGAAGAUGUAACGGGGCUAAACCAU